GGAGAAUUGACCGAGAGGCCGAAAGUGCUCCCCUGCUAAGGGAGUGGUGGCGAAAGCUGCCCGUGCGUUCGAAUCGCACAUUCUCCG
rnacentral:tRNA from 1 species